AUACGGAGGGUCCGAGCGUUAAUCGGAAUUACUGGGCGUAAAGCGCGCGUAGGUGGUUCAGUCAGUCAGAUGUGAAAGCCCCGGGCUCAACCUGGGAACUGCACCUGGUACUGCUGAGCUAGAGUACGGUAGAGGGCAGUGGAAUUUCCGGUGUAGCGGUGAAAUGCGUAGAGAUCGGAAGGAACACCAGUGGCGAAGGCGACUGCCUGGACUGAUACUGACACUGAGGUGCGAAAGCGUGGGUAGCAAACAGGAUUAGAUACCCUGGUAGUCCACGCCGUAAACGAUGUCCACUAGCCGUUGGGGGACUUGAUCCUUUAGUGGCGAAGCUAACGCGAUAAGUUGACCGCCUGGGGAGUACGGCCGCAAGGUUAAAACUCAAAUGAAUUGACGGGG
rnacentral:rRNA from 1 species